AGAGUUUGAUCCUGGCUCAGGAUGAACGCUAGCGGCAGGCUUAAUACAUGCAAGUCGAGGGGCAGCAUGACUGUAGCAAUACAGUUGAUGGCGACCGGCAAACGGGUGCGGAACACGUACAGAACCUUCCUUCGAGCGGGGAAUAGCCCAGAGAAAUUUGGAUUAAUACCCCAUAGCAUAACGGAGUGGCAUCACUCUGUUAUUAAAGAUUUAUCACUUGAAGAUGGCUGUGCGGCUGAUUAGGUAGUUGGCGGGGUAACGGCCCACCAAGCCUGCGAUCAGUAACUGGUGUGAGAGCACGACCAGUCACACGGGCACUGAGACACGGGCCCGACUCCUACGGGAGGCAGCAGUAAGGAAUAUUGGUCAAUGGACGAAAGUCUGAACCAGCCAUGCCGCGUGGAGGAUGAAGGUCCUCUGGAUUGUAAACUUCUUUUAUAUGGGACGAAAAAAGGCUUUUCUAAGUCGUCUGACGGUACCAUAUGAAUAAGCACCGGCUAACUCCGUGCCAGCAGCCGCGGUAAUACGGAGGGUGCAAGCGUUAUCCGGAUUCACUGGGUUUAAAGGGUGCGUAGGUGGGUUGGUAAGUCAGUGGUGAAAUCUCCGAGCUUAACUUGGAAACUGCCAUUGAUACUAUCAGUCUUGAAUAUUGUGGAGGUUAGCGGAAUAUGUCAUGUAGCGGUGAAAUGCUUAGAUAUGACAUAGGACACCAAUUGCGAAGGCAGCUGGCUACACAUAUAUUGACACUGAGGCACGAAAGCGUGGGGAUCAAACAGGAUUAGAUACCCUG
rnacentral:rRNA from 1 species